rnacentral:rRNA from 1 species
CCUACGGGGGGCUGCAGUGGGGAAUAUUGGACAAUGGGGGGAACCCUGAUCCAGCCAUGCCGCGUGUGUGAAGAAGGCCCUCGGGUUGUAAAGCACUUUCAGUGAGGAAGAACGCCUGGUGGUUAAUACCCAUCAGGAAAGACAUCACUCACAGAAGAAGCACCGGCUAACUCCGUGCCAGCAGCCGCGGUAAUACGGAGGGUGCGAGCGUUAAUCGGAAUUACUGGGCGUAAAGCGCGCGUAGGUGGCUUGAUAAGCCGGUUGUGAAAGCCCCGGGCUCAACCUGGGUACGGCAUCCGGAACUGUCAAGCUAGAGUGCAGGAGAGGAAGGUAGAAUUCCCGGUGUAGCGGUGAAAUGCGUAGAGAUCGGGAGGAAUACCAGUGGCGAAGGCGGCCUUCUGGACUGACACUGACACUGAGGUGCGAAAGCGUGGGUAGCAAACAGGAUUAGAUACCCUAGUAGUC